ACCACAGAAUUUGCCAUUUAAAAUGAUGGCUUCGAUAACAUUUUUCAUUAAUUAUUUAACGACUUUUCGCGUGCUGUUGCACAACCAUGGUUGUUUCAAAUUACGAAGUAAAAUAAACGGAGAUCCAACCUUCAGUUGUAAAUUAUGCGGUGGCAUGCCUGGUAAAUGCAAUAAGUUUAAAAACACUGUUGGAUAAUUUAUAGCUUCAGUAGCAUUGUAAACUGUAUCGAUUUGUAUGACACCAAGUCUCCUGGUUACAAAUGUUGUAUAUUGAGAUUCAAUUCGUUGAUGUCCACAUUUUUUGCUACUAAAAUUGCUCUUUCUGCCAGCCACUCAUGAUUUGUGUAUUGUCUGUGGUUGCGCCACUACCGAUCUUACAAAUAUGGCGGUUGUCGGCAACGACUUGCGUUUUGUGUUGAGGACGGGAGUGCAAGAGGGUUAACCACGACAGCACGAUCUUUAGGUCGGAAACAGAAACAUGUGUAAAUGGUCGCUUUGAUCAGUAGCAGUGACGCCAUUUCGGUAGUAAAAGCCGACAGAUAUUUAGUCUUUAAUUCCUAACUCAACCAAAGUACAAGAACAAACAAUCAACAAAGUCUGAACUACUCGUAGCAGAUAUCAGUAAACGGAUGUGAACGAUCUCACUAUAAUUUUGAAGAGCUUAUAUUUAUAAGGUAGAGUGUUGUAAAAUAUAUAUAAAUUGAAACCAUUGUAAUCCCUAUGCUUUGGAUUUGAGUCAGAAUUUGUGCAACACCUGAUCGAGCAUAUGACUGUACCACUUGAAAUCAGUGGGCCAACGCGCGAGGCGAGAAGUUUAUGCUUAUAAUAACUUUUUUGAUAGAGCAAGAGGAAGAAGAACUUGAUAGCGAGUUUUCAAGGUCUGAGGUCUAAAGAGUUACUAAAGUUGUUGCAUUCUGAAGAGUGAGGUUCUCUUUUUCGGUGGUAGGGGAUAGAGCUACACACGGUAUACAUGACGUGGCAAGAGUACGACCUCUUUGAUCAUAUACGUCUCGUGUGGUAGCUAGCAAUUCGACAUUUACAACUUCUUGAAGGUUUAUGAUACUACAGAGCUACAGUCGUCGGUAACCAACUGCACUGAGUAGAAACUCAAUUUAUACUUGGAGCGGUACGGUAGCUGAAGAUUUGGAAGUCGAAUUGCGACGUUAGGGAUAAUAAAAAAGCUACGAAUAUCGGUAACUACCGCAUGCUAGUUGUUCUUUUGUUUUGUGAAAAGGGGUCUUGUCAGGAAGUGUGAGGUUUUAGAGAGUGUAUGACUACAAUCAGGUCCUAAAACGUAGGAGAGAAAAAUAUUUUUUGGGGAGUGAUAGAACAUUGAGCAAAGGUAACCGAUCGAUAAGGACUGGCCCGUUUGUGGAUUUAUGUGGUGAGUGUUCAUAAGUCGCGGAAAAUCUGGUUGUGUUUGAGUGUUAGGUUUAUUCGUGGAGGGUGAGUAAGAGCUACACACAAUUUUAUCCAUGUGAUAAAAAAAAAAAAUUAUGAAAAUUUAUAUCCCGUCUAGUAGUUAACAACUCAAUAUUCGAAUCGCAAGGUUAGUGAUAAUAGAGAGCUACAAUCUUCAGUAACCACCUGUCAAGAGAAGCAACUGGUUGCUUAUUUGAAGCCGCAUGGUAGCAUUUCGUAUGUUUGGUGAAUUGCGGACUUAUCUGUGGUAGUUUGAUUUGAGUUGGAAUUGUGAGGUUUUUUUUUGCUGAAGUAUAAGGUUUUUUUUCUUGGGGGGAGGGGAUAGAGCUACACACGAUCUUCCUGACGUGGCAAUAGAACGAUCUCUUUGACCUUGGAAGUCUCGUGUGGUGGCUAGCAAUUCGACUGUUAGAAGAUUCAUGAUACUACAGGGCCACACUCGUCGAUAACCAACUGCAUAGAGUAGAAACUCAAUUCAUAUUUGGAACCGUACGGUGGCUGAAGACAAGCCAGUCGAAUUGCAAGAGUAGCAGAGCUACAAUCGUCGGUAACCACAUAGCAAGAGCAGCAGUUCAUUGCUUCUUUGGAGCCGUACGGUAGCUGAUCUUUUGUUUGUUUUGUGAAAUUUGGUCUUUUUUAGAAGUAUGAGGUUUCGGCGGUGCAUUAGGACGUGAAAAUAAGAGGUGAAAAAUUGGUUUGGAAAUCGGGCCAGUCCAAAAGUCUUUAGAUGUUAACAUUUGGUCUCGUUUAUUUGUUUGGUGCACAUACGAUUAUAUAUGUGGAUCGAGCGCAUAUCCAAUGACCGUAUCCAAAGCAAAAGGAACAAAAAAUAAAAAAAUAUACUGUUAACUCAAUUUAAGAUAAGUUAAUCAUUAUUGUAGUAUAAAACUUUUACUUGUAAUAAAAAAAUGACAAAAAAAGUGCUGUUAUUCUAAA